rnacentral:rRNA from 1 species
GACGAACGCUGGCGGCGUGCUUAACACAUGCAAGUCGAACGAAGUGGCGCACGGGUGAGUAACGCGUAAUCAACCUGCCCUUCAGAGGGGGACAACAGUUGGAAACGACUGCUAAUACCGCAUACUGAAGGUGGGGAUUGCGUGUGAUUAGCUAGUUGGGGGGGUAACGGCCCACCAAGGCGAUGAUCAGGAGCCGGUCUGGGAGGGUGAACGGGCCCAUUGGGAAUGAGGAACGGCCCAGAAUCCUACGGGAGGGAGCAGGUGGGAAUCUUCCGCAAUGGGGGGAAAUCUGGCGGAGGAACGCCGCGUGAGUGAUGGCGGGCUUCGGGUUGGAAAGCUCUGUUAAUCGGGGCGCGGUACCGGAAUAGAAAGCCACGGCUAACUACGUGCCAGCAGCCGCGGUAAUUC